rnacentral:sRNA from 1 species
UGUAGAGGGUGGGCUCCGGGCCCGGAAGCUGGAGGAGCUGAUCCAGGGGGCUCAGUGUGUACACAGCCCCCGUUUUCCUGCCCAGUACCUGAAGCUGCGGGAGCGAAUGCAGAUACAGAAGGAGAUGGAGCGGCUGCGCUUCCUACUGUCGGAUCAGUCACUGCUGCUGCUUCCUGAGUACCAUCAGCGAGUAGAGGUGGGUGGGGCAGUGGUUGGGGCAGGAGGGCUGGGGGACAGCAGUGUGUCCAAUGCCCGCCCUUUUUCUUGCAGGUUCUCCGAACCCUGGGUUACGUGGACGAGGCGGGCACCGUGAAGCUGGCAGGGCGGGUGGCUUGUGCCAUGAGCAGCCAUGAGUUGCUCCUCACUGAGCUCAUGUUUGACAAUGCACUAAGCACCCUGCGGCCUGAGGAGAUUGCUGCCUUGCUCUCUGGCCUGGUCUGCCAGAGCCCUGGGGAUACUGGGGAUCAGCUCCCAAACACCCUCAAGCAGGUAGGGGACACCACCCCUUUCUCCCUGCCAGGGCUGUGGCAUUCCUGACCUCCACCUUCAGGUAGUCCCCCAGGGCCCUGUAAGUGCCCCAAGGAUGGAAAACGGCUGCCUUCUUGAUCUGGUCCUUCCCUUUCCUGGAGCAGGAAGGCAGGCCUUAACCUCUCCUUCUUUCCUGCAGGGUAUAGAACGUGUCCGGGCUGUGGCCAGGCGGAUUGGUGAGGUCCAGGUGGCUUGUGGCCUGAACCAGACGGUGGAGGAAUUUGUGGGGGAGCUGAAUUUUGGGCUGGUCGAGGUUGUGUAUGAGUGG